CCUACGGGAGGCAGCAGUGGGGAAUUUUGGACAAUGGGCGCAAGCCUGAUCCAGCCAUGCCGCGUGCAGGAUGACGGUCCUAUGGAUUGUAAACUGCUUUUGUACAGGAAGAAACACCUCUACGUGUAGAGACUUGACGGUACUGUAAGAAUAAGGAUCGGCUAACUUCGUGCCAGCAGCCGCGGUAAU
rnacentral:rRNA from 1 species